UCCGGUCUGAUAAGCAGACAGUCCCAUAGUUAGUUCGUUUUGUAUCUCUCAUCUGUGUUAGUGCCUUUCCUGUGCCUUUCUCUUUGAGUUUUAUCUCAGGUUCUGAUGUGUCGCUGCGGUUCAGCCUCUAAUGCCAUAUGGCUCAUUAUCAAGGUAUAAACAUGUCAAAUAAAAUGCUCGGUACAGUAAAAUGGUUCAACGCUGAGAAAGGUUUCGGCUUCAUUUCUCCGGAAGACGGCAGCAAAGACGUUUUCGUCCAUUUCUCUGCCAUUCAGGGAACUGACUUCCGUUCACUCGAUGACGGUCAGAAAGUUGAAUUCUCUGUGGAAAACGGCCCUAAAGGUCCGUCAGCUGUUAACGUUACAGGUCUCUGAUUAUUACAGUAAUUAAUGCUAUGAGAUGCCCACAAUGUCAGGGCUCUCAAU
rfam:Pantoea dispersa strain SA5 contig_1, whole genome shotgun sequence.